UCCUACGGGACGCAGCAGUGGGGAAUAUUGCACAAUGGGGGAAACCCUGAUGCAGCAACGCCGCGUGAGUGAAGAAGUAUUUCGGUAUGUAAAGCUCUAUCAGCAGGGAAGAAGAUGACGGUACCUGAGUAAGAAGCCCCGGCUAACUACGUGCCAGCAGCCGCGGUAAUACGUAGGGGGCAAGCGUUAUCCGGAUUUACUGGGUGUAAAGGGAGCGUAGACGGCUGCGCAAGUCUGAAGUGAAAGCCCGGGGCUCAACCCCGGGACUGCUUUGGAAACUGUGUAGCUAGAGUGCUGGAGAGGCA
rnacentral:rRNA from 1 species